rnacentral:rRNA from 1 species
UUGGAAAGAAAAAGUCGUAAACAAGGUCUCCGUUGGUG